rnacentral:rRNA from 1 species
AACAACGCUGGCGGCGUGCCUAACACAUGCAAGUCGUACGAGAAGUCGGCUUCGGCCGAUGAGUACAGUGGCGCACGGGUGAGUAGCGCGUGGGUAAUCUGCCCCCCGGUCAGGAAUAACCCGCCGAAAGGCGGGCUAAUACCCGAUAACACUGACGCUCCGCGGAGCGUCUUUCAAAGAAGGCCUCUGUUUACAAGCUUUCGCCGGAGGAUGAGCCCGCGUACCAUUAGCUAGUUGGCAGGGUAAUGGCCUACCAAGGCUACGAUGGUUAGCUGGUCUGAGAGGAUGGCCAGCCACACUGGAACUGAGACACGGUCCAGACUCCUACGGGAGGCAGCAGUGAGGAAUCUUGCGCAAUGGGGGCAACCCUGACGCAGCAACGCCGCGUGAGUGAGGAAGGUUUUCGGACUGUAAAGCUCUGUCGAGCGGGAAGAAGUGUACCAUGGCUAAUAUCCAUGAUAUUUGACGGUACCGCUAGAGGAAGCACCGGCUAACUCCGUG